rnacentral:rRNA from 1 species
GACGAACGCUGGCGGCGUGCUUAACACAUGCAAGUCGAACGGAAAGGCCCUGCUUUUGUGGGGUGCUCGAGUGGCGAACGGGUGAGUAACACGUGAGUAACCUGCCCUUGACUUUGGGAUAACUUCAGGAAACUGGGGCUAAUAACGGAUAGGAGCUCCUGCUGCAUGGUGGGGGUUGGAAAGUUUCGGCGGUUGGGGAUGGACUCGCGGCUUAUCAGCUUGUUGGUGGGGUAGUGGCUUACCAAGGCUUUGACGGGUAGCCGGCCUGAGAGGGUGACCGGCCACCUUGGGACUGAGGUACGGCCCAGACUCCUACGGGAGGCAGCAGUGGGGAAUAUUGCACAAUGGGCGGAAGCCUGAUGCAGCAACGCCGCGUGCGGGAUGACGGCCUUCGGGUUGUAAACCGCUUUCGCCUGUGACGAAGCGUGAGUGACGGUAAUGGGUAAAGAAGCACCGGCUAACUACGUG